UAGUAAUGUGAAUUGCAGAAUUCAGUGAAUCAUCGAAUCUUUGAACGCACCUUGCGCCCUUUGGAUAUUCCGAAGGGCAUGCCUGUUUGAGUAUCAUGAACACCUCAACUCUCACGGUUUCUCGUGAUGAGCUUGGACUUGGGGGUUUGUCGGCCUGUGGUCGGCUCUCCUCAAAUGAAUUAGCUUGCCGGUGUCUGGCGGCAUCAUGGGUGUGAUAACCAUCUACGCUUGUGAUCGCCUGCGAGGUAAACCUCUGGUCUGCAGAGGUUCGCCGGAGCUUAUAGACGUCUCUCCUCAGCGAAGACAGCUGUCUGAAGUUCGAUCUCAAAUCAGGUAGGACUACCCGCUGAACUUAAGCAUAUCAAUAAGCGGAGGAAAAGAAACUAACAAGGAUUCCCCUAGUAACUGCGAGUGAAGCGGGAAGAGCUCAAAUUUAAAAUCUGGCGUGCCUCUGGUCGUCCGAGUUGUAGUCUGGAGAAGCGUUUUCCGUGUUGGACCGUGUAUAAGUCUCUUGGAACAGGGCGUCAUAGAGGGUGAGAAUCCCGUCUUUGACACGGACUGCCAAUGCUUUGUGAUGCGCUCUCAAAGAGUCGAGUUGUUUGGGAAUGCAGCUCAAAAUGGGUGGUAAAUUCCAUCUAAAGCUAAAUAUAGGCGAGAGACCGAUAGCGAACAAGUACCGUGAGGGAAAGAUGAAAAGCACUUUGGAAAGAGAGUUAAACAGUACGUGAAAUUGCUGAAAGGGAAACGCUUGAAGUCAGUCGUGUCUGCCAGGACUCAGCCUUGCUUCUGCUUGGUGUACUUUCUGGUUGGAUGGGCCAACAUCAAUUUUGACCGUCGGAGAAAGGUUUUGGGAACGUGGCACCUUCGGGUGUGUUAUAGCCCAUUGUCAUAUACGGCGGUUGGGAUUGAGGACUGCAGCACGCCGUUAUUGGGUAGGGGCAUCUCGCCCACGUUCGUGCGUAGGAUGUUGGCGUCAU
rnacentral:rRNA from 1 species